rnacentral:misc_RNA from 1 species
CAAAUGCGAUAGUUAGUGCGAACUGCAGAUAUUCUGAGCACUGAAAAGUCGAAUGCACAUUGCGCCUUGGGAUUUACAUCCCUUGGCACGACUGGUUCAGGGUCGUUUCUACCCAAAGGCAGUAGACAACUUAUUGCUGCCACAUACGGCUAGGCACUGGAAACGUUUCAUGCCGAUCGAAACACGUCCAGGGCCGUGCCUUUUGCUUGGUGUUUUGUGUCCGGACUAGCUCUGGUCCAAGCGCCGGUCGUGUAAAAAAGUUUUGCUGCCAUGACAGGCGGCACAAACUGACUGGUUGUUUGGCACUGGGUCUAGCCCUGGCAUGUAAUCGUUACUUCGACCUGAACUCAGACGUGACUACCCGCUGAACUUAA